AUGUCUAAGGGACUGAGUGAGAUGUUGUGGACCAGAAAUUUAUUAGAAGAAUUGAAGAUAUUGAAGACUAGUUGUAUGAAUGUGUGGUGUGAUAACAAAUCAGCAAUCAACAUAGCACACAAUCCAGUACAACACGAUAGAACCAAGCAUGUGGAAAUAGACAGAUUCUUCAUCAAAGAAAAGCUUGAUGCUGGGAUCAUUAAGAUUGAGCAUGGCAGCCCGGUGCAUGUAGCUCCCGCUUGCGCAGGGUCCGGGGAAGGGUCCGACCACUUUGGGUCUAUAGUACGCAGCCUUUCCCUACAUUUCUGUAAGAGGCUGUUUCCAGGACUUGAACCCGUGACCUCAUGGUCACAAGGCAGCAGCUUUACCACUGCGCCAAGGCUCCCCUUCCAUGAACCCGCGGAAAACCCCGAGGGCCCGUUUGAUAGGCGAGGUUACAUGGGCCAAAUCCCCUCAAUCCCCCCUUCGACCCACUUCCUCCCACGCGCCCCCUCGAGGAUUUGCUCGCCCGACUCACGCCGCCGCCCGACCCGAGACGCCGCCGCCGACUCCUCCCCAAGACGCCUCGCCGCCUCGACGCCGGCGAUCUCCUCCGGCAUACUGGACUUCUCCCCGGUGGUUAGUAACCGCAGCCCCUCCCCUCCCCCCUCCUCUCCAUGGCUGGCACCUCCCGCACGCCCUCCGUCCGCCUCGUCCUCACCGGCAAGCACGCCAAGAACGGCGUCUCCGACCCCCAGCUCCACAUUUAUUGUGAUCUUGAAUAUUCUUCUGUUCGUUUUCUUGGUUGUUAGUAAAUCAUGGCGUCUUUCACUAGUUCUUUCAGAACCAGCAGCCUGGGUUCUUGUUGGGGUGGACGAGUUGCCUCCAUCUUGGGAUCCAAUUGUCACGCCUAAGUUCGUCAUUGUUGUAAUUUCCCCCACCGCAACAACUGGUGUGUUGCGGGAUCUGGAUCUGGGUCCCCACGAGAGCAGUGGUCACCCAUGCUCCUCCCGAGCUUCCCGUCAAGGCGGCGCCUCCUCGCGCUGCUUCGACCGCCGCCGGCAACACGCCGACGAGCCGCCCGCCUCCAUCAUGAACGUCGACCGUCACGGUGCGACCGAACUCAAGCUGCAUCUGCCGUCCCGGGGAAGCAUCGGUGUCCGCGUCCACCGCUAG
rnacentral:rRNA from 1 species